rnacentral:lncRNA from 1 species
AUAAAGCCAAUCAUGCAUAUAUAAAUCAUCAAUAUUUCAUAAACAUGAUUUCAGAUGUAUAGCAUAAAUAAAAUUAUAAAUCAUUUAUCAUUUAUCCGUGUCUUAGAUUAAUUACUUCUCUCAAACUAAAUGUUAAGGUCACUAUUAUAUCCAUAAUAGGGUCAUAACCGAUAACAUACCAACUAUCGUUAUCCAUUGAUAGGAUCGUAUGCCAACUACUAUUAUCUAUCGACAAAAUCGUACACUAACUAUUAUCACCAAUUGAUAGGAUUGUGUGAAACUAGCUUUAGAUAUGAAUCUAUUCCACUUUUAGAGACUAUACAUAGCUAUUUGAGAGCCUUUUGUCCUAUCUUUUCUUAAAAUUAAUUUUUUAAGUCAUAUUUUCUUGAAUCAUGUUAUCUUAAAUUAUAAUUUCUAAAAUAUAUGUUUUUAAAUCAUACAUAAAUAAAUAGAUUGAAAAGCCCUAAAUAAUAUUAUGGAGUUUAUAACAAAUCAUUAAUAUUAAAACAUUCACAGAACUAUUCUUUCAUGAUAAAUCAUGAGUUUUAUGAUAUAAUAUGGUCGAUCCUUAAUUUUAAGAAAAAUACAAAAUCAUUAGUGUAACCUGCUGGUAAGAUCUAAUGGAACUAGCUCUAUAUAUCGAUCUAUCCCGCUUUUAGGGGUCAUAUAUAACCAUCUAAGAGCUUUUAGAUGUAUUUUUCUUAAAACAAAUUUUCUUAAGUCAUAUUUUCUAAAAUCAUAUAUGAAUAAAGCACUGAGGCCCCAUUUGACAAAACUUUUGGAGGAUCAAAAAGUACUUUUUAGCCCUCCAAAAGUAUUUUUAAAUAGUAUAGUGAUGUUUGAUAGAAA